rnacentral:rRNA from 1 species
UAGGGAAUUUUGCGCAAUGGGGGAAACCCUGACGCAGCAACGCCGCGUGAGUGAUGAAGGCCUUAGGGUCGUAAAGCUCUGUCGUAGGGGAAGAUUAUGACGGUACCCUACAAGAAAGGACCAGCUAACUUCGUGCCAGCAGCCGCGGUAAUACGAGGGGUCCUAGCGUUGUUCGGAAUCAUUGGGCGUAAAGCGGAUGUAGGCGGCAAAAUAAGUCAGAUGUGAAAGCCCCGAGCUUAACUCUGGAAGUGCAUUUGAUACUGUUUUGCUUGAGUACGGGAGAGGGUAGUGGAAUUCCUGGUGUAGUGGUGAAAUACGUAGAUAUCAGGAGGAACACCGGUGGCGAAGGCGGCUACCUGGCCCAGUACUGACGCUAAAAUCCGAAAGCGUGGGGAUCAAA